rnacentral:lncRNA from 1 species
UAGGUUUCAGCGCUCAUAAUCUAGUCAUUUCUCCUCUGAAUAUUCCUGCAUUAAUGGGAGCCUUCGGGGGACACUUCAUAUUCAAAGCACAACACUAGGCACUAGUAAUUUUUUAGCUCCCUUAUAAUCAUAUGAGGCCACCAUCAUACAUAAAAUCUUUCUUUAGCCAAAAUGUCAUUAUAUAGCAUGAUGAUAAUAUGUUAUAGUUUUUGACAUUUAAAAAAAAAAGUGGGGGGGUGGCUUUCCAGCUGGAAGAGACUACCCAUUUCUGGGCUCACAAAGGACUCAGCCAGGAUCAUGGUUCAAAGGUAACUGUGUAGAUAGACCUACUAAUCAAGAACAAUAUCUCCUCUAUGUGGUUCUGACAUCCCAGGGACUAGUUUUUCUGUACCUGGAUUAUCUCAGAGUCAGAUGCUAGUCAAACUAGGGAUUCCUCCUGGAGCUUAGAGCACACAGAAAUUAUUUAAACUAGCCAACCCUACACUGUUUUCCAGGACCUUCCUUGACUUUUCUGCAGAAAUCAUAGUUUAGACUCUGGCCUAAAUCUUCUGCUAGCUCCUAUCUUAUGCCUCCUUACAACCUGGUGUCUUUCUCAUGUGGUCCUGGGUGGCAUGACUGUCUCUACAACCUGUGAAUAUAAAAAAAAAUUGUUUUUGAGUUCCUCCUGUAUCUCCUUUCAGGGCCACACUUGGCUGACCAUCUCAUAAAAGAUACAAACCAGAGUGAGCUUGGACAUGUUCCUGAGGUCAAAGGGAAGAUUCUACCAAAUGCCAAAAGCAAGAGAAAAACAACCAGGGCUGGGGAUGUGGCUCAAGCGGUAGCGCGCUCGCCUGGCAUGCGCGAGGCCCGGGUUCGAUCCUCAGCACCACAUACAAAGAUGUUGUGUCUGCUGAGAACUAAAAAAUAAAUAUUAAAAAAUUCUCUCUCUCCCUCUCUCUCUCUCUCUCUCAAAAAAAAAAAAAAAUGGGCCCACUGUGCUGAAGCCCACAGGCUUUCUAAAAAAAAAAAAAAAAGAGAGAGAGAGAGAAGAGCAACCAUUGGUUUAAAGGAAAACCAUCAAUGUUAUUCUCAUGCUGGAAAUUUGACUGUUAAAUGUUUCUCAACAGUUUUACAGUUUUCUUCCUCAAAAAGCCACAAAGCUAGUAAUUGGUAAGGAAGGAUUUGGUGGGCUUGGUUCUAUAGCAAAAAGGGUAUUGCCUAUUUCUCUAAUCUUCAGAAUGACCUAAAAAGAAUCAUACUGAUGCAAAACAGAGUUGCUAGAAAAACCCUUAUCAUGAGUCCAGGACAAGGUGAAUUCCUGUCUGUCUGAAAAUUCCCUUCUCUUCAUAAGAACUUUUCAAACACUGCUGAGAAGAGUGUUUGACCCAUCUACAUUUCCUGCCACAACCUUUCCUGACUAAUUUCAUGAAGGUAUUGAAGUUGGGAUGCUAAGACAGUGCUGAAGUGGGAAUAAACUAAAGGAUGAUCAUCCUAACACCAGACUCAAAAUCUAUACUUCCUACCCACAAACACAUGUUUUUUUCAGAAAUUCUCUGAAUGAAAUGUAGGCAGUUAAUCAUUUCCUGGGAGAAUACCUUUUGACCAAUUCCCAAACAUGAUUGAUAGUAUUUCUCUGUCAAUAUGACAUUUUUCACCAAUAUUUAUGUAAGAAAAAAUGUUCUCCUCUACAUUUGUCUUUAAAGCUCAGUACCACAUAUUAAACAAAACAAUGUACAUUUUAAAAAUCUCAGUUACUAUCCUCUUGAUAAGAUAUAAGAAUCACAAGAAAAGAGCUCUAGUGCCAAGCAAGCGGUCAUGCAAAUUGUGUGUUACUAACACUAAAAGAUCACAUUAACUGCCUACAAAGCAAGGACUUUAAUAUCUAUAUCAAGUUUUUGGUGACCAAGGAAUGAUGUGUUAAAUAUUUCUACAUCCUCACACGACAGAUUAUUUGUUAUAUAUAGUAUUCUUCUGUGUUCGACCACAUCUUAGGAAAUUGACUCAGAGUUUGGGGUUAAUUUGCAGUAUGAUACCA